UUGAAACACGUUCUGAACAGUCAUGGCUUUGGUAGAAAGGGCCUAAAAUCGAUAGAAAAAGGUGUUAGAUCAUCAUUUUUUGUUGCUGAGAGAUGCGAUUUGGGCGGAAAAGCUGCUUUUUUGAAGGAAUUUUGCGCUACGCCCAUUGUGAAAUUCUCGCAACUUUGAUCCAUCUUCAUGCUAUUGAUGACGUCAUCAGAAGUUGAUUUCUGAGCGCGGACUCAUUUCGCAGCGUUUUUCGUCGAUUUUUGAUGAAAAAAUGCGCGAAAUCCUGAAGUGCUGCCUUUGCGCCUUCACAACUUUGCUUUAAUGACAUCCGUCUGUAAGCUCAACUAUUAUGAAAAAUUUGUAACGCGGCGAUGAUGACGCGCUCCGGUGCUCUUGUCGUCGCAAACUGGAGGUGUAUCAGUUAAAAAACACAAAGCGGCACUACUUCGGUGGUGAAAUUCAUGUCGUCGGGCUUUGAGAUCGUGCGACUUGCGGAAUUUAAGGUUCCUGUGAACGAAAGUGACCCGUUCUGAUACCGACUCUGGAUGUCAAUCGUCGUCAAAUGUCGUUAGGAGACUCAUUUUCAGCGAAAAAUAGCCUCGUAUCGUCGUUAACGGGGAUUUUUUUGGCAAUUGCGUGCACGGAAUCAGUUCUGAAGGAACAAAAAUCGUUCAAAAGUUGAUUUUUUCGGGGGAAUUUUGAAGGAUGUGAGGACCACUGAGCUCGCUUGAUGACGCAAACCUUACUUGAAUUAAGUAUUAAUUGUAAAUAAAAUUAAAAAAAUUAAAAAAAAAUUGGAAAAAAAA